rnacentral:tRNA from 1 species
GGGCGCUGCCGGGGCAAUUUGACGCCAUUUUCUGUCGCAACGUGAUGAUCUAUUUCGAUAAGGCGACACAGGAGCGCAUCCUGCGGCGCUUC